rnacentral:rRNA from 1 species
GAGUUUGAUCCUGGCUCAGGAUGAACGCUGGCGGCGUGCUUAACACAUGCAAGUCGAGCGAAGCAUUAAAACCGAUUUCUUCGGAAAGAAGUUUUAAUGACUGAGCGGCGGACGGGUGAUUAACGCGUGGGUGACCUGCCUCAUACAGGGGGAUAACAGACAGAAAUGUCUGCUAAUACCGCAUAAGCGCACAGUGCUGCAUGGCACAGUGUGAAAAACUCCGGUGGUAUGAGAUGGACCCGCGUCUGAUUAGCUAGUUGGUAAGGUAACGGCUUACCAAGGCGACGAUCAGUAGCCGGCCUGAGAGGGUGAACGGCCACAUUGGGACUGAGACACGGCCCAAACUCCUACGGGAGGCAGCAGUGGGGAAUAUUGCACAAUGGGGGAAACCCUGAUGCAGCGACGCCGCGUGAAGGAAGAAGUAUUUCGGUAUGUAAACUUCUAUCAGCAGGGAAGAAAAUGACGGUACCUGACUAAGAAGCCCCGGCUAACUACGUGCCA